UCCUUAUUGUUUACUCACAGUGUGCAAGCAAGAGAUGAACAGGAGUGCCGCAAGCCAGAGGAAACAUCCUUACACUGAACUCUGCAGAGGGACAGAUACCACCCUGACUUGAGUGGGGCUGGGGAGAGAAGACACAGAAAAGGCAUGGAGGCGGCAACAGAAGUCAACACUGAAGUCAUGACUCUGGCUUUUACAACACCAGAUGCUGCAGCAAGUAUCCUACUAGGGUAGCCUGCAGGGAGGAGGAAGGAGAGGAGGCAGGAUGGGAAGACCGGAGUCUAGUGCCUCCUUCUACCCCCACUAAUUCCACACUUGAGCCUUCUCCUAGCAUGCUUACUGGCAUAUCUUCAACUAAUUUAGAUCCUCCACCACUGCUAAUGAAGAAGUUGCAUGUCAAGGUGCAAGACCAAUCCUCUACUAUGUUUAAAGACCAAACGGAUUCAACCUUGCAUUUCAGAAAAGAUGGUGGAGGGGGGCAAGCAUCACAUCUACCCGAAUACUCUUUACGUUGCAGCUUGGGGAUAGUCAUGGAGAUUCAUGUAUUACCUUUGUAAUUAUCUCCUCCUCUUCCACCUUCCCCUGAUGCUUUAACUCUGGCUGGAAGCAUACUAAAGAAUCUGUUAUCUUGACUUUGAAAGCAGCUGUAGCUUUUUCAUCUCUCCCAGCGACAACAAGGGACUUCUGCAGGAGCAGGCCAGCCUUCUCAGGCUGAAAAGCAGAAGUGACAAAUGAACCAUCCUGCACCAAGAAAGCCUGAUCUCCGAAUAUUUCAUAGAGAAAUCUCUUCAGCUCUGACACGUGAAAGGAAUGGCAUUGCUACUUUUAAAAAGAGAACUGAUCCCUCUAGGCAGCCCAUAUCUAAUGACUAUGAAGAAAAGCACUGUUGUUUGUCCUUCAAGCUAGCCUGAAAUUAUACAACUUUUUGCGUUAGAAACAUGAUUUUUUCAGCAAUGUAUUUUAAAUUCCUACAUACUGAGAACUUUUAAUCACUAAGGAAUCACCCUCAAUUUUUAUGUGUUUAAUAGGGCUUUUAUUAACACAGGAAUGUGGCUGAAUAUAAACCAGGAAGCUUUUAAGAUCAAUGCAAUCUCUUGCAAAAUUGUCUACGAGCUAGAUUCCAUCUUCAUUUAAAAUAUACUGGGGAAAUGACAGGAACUACACUUGAUUUAUACAUGAUGUAACAAUGAGAGUAUUUGUAGCAAGAGACUUUUGAAAAUAAAAAAAUUUACUUAACUUUA